GGUCUUGAACCAAGGUGUAUCGUACACAAAUGUAAAUGUGUUUAAUUAAUGUUGGAUUAGAUUAUAUUCCCAAAAAAAGAUUAUGUUCCCACAUACUUCAAUUUCGCACAAGACAUUUAAAAUAUCAUGGACAAUUUUAAUGGGAGAGAAUUUAGAUCUGACACAAAUAGAAUCAUCAUCUGAUCCAAACUAACAAUCAAUAUUGUUUAAUGUAAUUAACGACCCAAUUUUCAUAUUAUUAGUGUUCGUGUGUUAAACUAUUUUAAUUAAGUUAAUAACUUGAGUCAUUUAUCGAGUAUUUUAGUUAUUAAGCGAGUAGUGAGAGUUAACGUGUUAUUGGGUCAAGCCAUUGCGCUUGAGGCCCAAUGGGCCUUGUGUGGGAGUGUGGGGCGCCCAUAUGGCCAAGAGGGAGAGAGAAAUUCAUUAUUUCUCUUUUGUUCUUGAAGAUAGAGAGAAGGAAGAGAGCUUGAGAGCUAGGGCAAGAGGAAAGCAAGGGAUUCGAGAUCGAUCGUCGUGUUUUCUUCGAAUCCAGGUAUGAGAGUAGGUUCCAUAAUCGUGGGUGACUCGAGAAAGGGGAGAACUUCCUCCACCCCAUUUUCGUUUUAGCUUGGAAUGGAUUUUCUUGAUGGAAAUCGUUCCUAAGGUUCUUAACAUGCUUAACAUGCUUUUAACAUGAUGAAUGAACGAAUUUAAUGGUUAAAAACGAGUUUUAUGAAAGAUUAAACUCAAGAACUUUGUGUUCUUGAGAGUUUUGAAGAAAAAGUGAUCAAUCCUUACUUUUUCGAUGUUUAUGAUAUAGAUCUAAGAAAUGAACUGUUCUUUUGUGUUUAUCCAUGUUUGUUAUGCUUGAAAACAAACUCUUUUGGGAUUUAUAACAUGAAAAAUGAUAUUUUUGGGUGAUUGGAGUGGAAAAACGCAGGUUUUGAACUUUCCUGUCAGGAGGCGCUCGCUAGGCCUUCGCCCAGCGAACGUGUGGCGAACAGCUCGCCACGAGUAGGUGAUCCACUGGUGUGGUUCGCUGAGAAAUAAUGAAUUUCUCUCUCCCUCUUG
rnacentral:lncRNA from 1 species